ensembl:lncRNA
CCUCUCCCCAGUCUGAGGUUGGGCAAAUGGGUAACAACUUUGUCUUCUUUUUAUUGCCGCUCUCACUACCUAGGCUCUGACACAGAUUCCACACUCCCAAGCGCCCACCUCGGACACCCUCUGGGCUUCUGCAUUACUUGGCACUGACCGCUUCCUGCACCGGGCUUCCAGUGGGCCUUUUUGGCCAGUCCAGGCAGGUGAACUUUUAAGAAAGCAAAGAGCUAUAAAAUACCUUGAUUGUUCUAACUCCAGUGAACUGCAGAUCUAUGAAGAAGCAACGGCUCUUCCAUCAUUCUUCAAUCCUGAAAAUAAAACUAGAAACUUGGAUUCAUAUCUGGCUCUACUGUAUUAUGUGACUGGAAUAAAAUCACUGUGAUUGUAAACUUUUUCAAGUAUUUCAUAAUUUUCAGUCUUGCCUUCUAACGUCAACACCUGCUGUUUCAGUUUGCUCUGAAUCCUUUCCUUUUAGGAUAAAGGCCCACCACUCAACCAAGGUGAUUCUGACAUGAAUUACCAAAUACAGUGCCUAAGACCCAG